AAUUCUCUUUUUUCAUGACCAUUUGUGACAUGCGUGUUGUUUCUUAGUUGGGAAGGAUUCCGCCGAGUCUGCACGAGGGCUGACAUUGAAUGCUAGCAUGUGGGCAAGCCUUGGUUCGCAGUUGAACUUCUAUCUGAUGUAUUGCAAAACUGUGCUAUAUAUGCUGCGGUGAUGGUGCAUCAACUGAGGAAAAUGCGGCAAAGUAAUUAAAAAUAGCUUGUAUAACAUCCCAUCCUGGAAUAGUUACUACGAUCGCAGCUUGUGUUUUUGUUUUCUGGUGGCAAGGACUAAUUUAUUCAAAUCCACAUGCACAGGCAAUCUUGAUCAAUGGCUGUGCAAGCUUUUAGCUGAACCCUUGUAUAUCCUCUCCCAAAAUUUUCUCUUGCUUAAAAUGUGGUUGAUUGUUGAAACAGCAGCUACCUUUUUGCAUUGUCUGACAAUGUACAUCAUUCUUUCCAAGCAAAGGUAAUUUGAUAUGCAGAUUUGGGGAGAAUGUAUUCCUCUAUGUGGUGGAUAUUGUGCGCUAAUUAGUAAGCUUCACUGUCUCUUUCCACCUUUUUUUAACAGAACUUGACUGUUUCUCCUCAUCUUCAAGAUCUUGGAAUUUUUGUCACUUCUGUUCUUGUGGAAGUCUUGGGCUACUUUUUAUGCAAGGCACAAAAUGUUACUUCAACUUAUGUUCACUUUUUUCUUUUUUUGGCAUAUGAAAUGCAUUCCUUGAAAAUCAGCUGCAAAUGGCAACUUGCAGACUAUUUGAUUAAAAACAAGGAACUAUAAUGGAUCGUGAUAAGCAGCUGCUAGCAUGUGUUUUCUGUUCACUCAUCUAUCCUCUCACAAGCUAAUUCUUCAAAAAGAGGAAAAGAUUGUUCUUGUAUGGUUGGAUACCCCAUACAACCAGGCUGUAUAUGGACUUGUUCACAAGUUAGGGAGCUUAGUUGUGAGAUUGGUGUUUCUUCCAUUCAAGGAAAGUUCACAUGCUACAUUUUCCAGGUUUAUUUCUCUCCUCAUUUGUUCUCUUAACAUUGUUCUGAUUUCAACAGAUUUGAUUAUGUUGUUUAGAUGGUUCUGGUCUCUUCAUGUGUUGUUUUGCAUUUUCUUGCUUUGUGGUUUCAUCAUUUUCGACAAAUUUGCUUAUGUUGUCUUGAUGGUGCUGGUCUCUUCAUGUUUUAUUUUGCAUUUUAUUGCUUUGUGGUUUCAUCAUUUUUGUUAUGUAUUUGAAUCUAGCCUAUGCUUUUAGCUAGAACUGUAUCGUUUUUAGUUAAGAAACAUAGUUACAAACUUUGUUGAGGGCAGCAAGACAGGACAUGCAAAAAGAAAUUUUCCCAUCUUCUGUAUUAUUGUGCCAUUACACUUGCCUGCUAAUGCCACUACUACUACUAGCUUAUCUUGUGUGACGAGGCAUUUUCCCUGGAAUAGUGUGUGUGAUUAACUCCUUUGCUUGCCAGAAUGGUUAAGAAUCCCCUUUCUUUUCUUUUGAGCUGAAAGAUUUACAUUUGGAAAGCAUGCAGUAAAUGCAUUUCAACAUCAAUUUGAAGUCACAAUAUUUCUGUUUACCUUCAUAAGUAGCUGAAUGCUUCUCCUCUCAUGACAGGGCAAGAUCCAACAAAAGUGGGAAAUUGAUGACAUAUUCUUUAUUAAAUUGAAAUUCUCUGGUCACUGGUUUCUUGACUAUUCUGAGGAUAUGAUUUCGAGGGUUAUAUUCUCUGCAUUAUUCAUCAAACACUAUUUCCAGGUAUGGAUUUGAUGCUGUAAGUCUUCCAUAUUUGUGGGUAUUUACAUCAGCCUUGUACUGGAUUUGUGUUUUUCUCUGUGCGGGAUUCUUCUGCAUUUUCUUUUACCAGCUGCUUACCUUCAGGUUGGACAGUUCUUUUGUUUUCUGGUGUAAUUACUCUCAUAUCCGAGAAAUUAUUUCUGGACCACAAAAAUUUCUGGCCAGCAUUUAAAAUCCACUUCUCUAUCGGCUUAAGUUGCUUCUGCAUAGCAUCUUUCAUCAUUUACCGCUGUGAGAGGCCUUUUAUCAACCAAUUAUCCCUAACAAACAAGGGCCUUUGAAUGCAGCACAAAAAACACAAGGGCAAGGGAAUUAAGUUAAAUCUUGAUUUGAAUUGCUCUGUUGAAGUCCAUUUCAUGUUACAAUGGGAUUAUUAGUAGCAAGGCGUUAUAGCUGCAUUUGUUGAAUCUAAGCCAGAGCCAAACGAGUGAAAAGGUUCCUUCUCUUGCCAGAAUUACUCGAUACCCAACAAAGAACUACGGAUCACUUGCCCCUCAAUGUGGCCUAGAACUUCACGCUUCAAUAACAGCGUUGCUAGUAAUGUCGUUUAUUUUCAAAACAAUAAUACACUGCAUUGUUUUAGCUUACGAACUACAUUGCAAUUUUAUUUUGCAAUUUUUGUGCGCUAAGAAAGCUUUUCCUUUGUGUCAAAAA